UACGGGGGGGCAAGCGUUGUUCGGAAUUACUGGGCGUAAAGGGCUCGUAGGCGGCCAACUAAGUCAGACGUGAAAUCCCUCGGCUUAACCGGGGAACUGCGUCUGAUACUGGAUGGCUUGAGAUUGGGAGAGGGAUGCGGAAUUCCAGGUGUAGCGGUGAAAUGCGUAGAUAUCUGGAGGAACACCGGUGGCGAAGGCGGCAUCCUGGACCAACACUGACGCUGAGGAGCGAAAGCCAGGGGAGCAAAGCGGG
rnacentral:rRNA from 1 species